AAAUAAGAAGCAUACAAUACAUUUUUCAUAAUUUUAAAAUGCAUAAAAGUAUUUUUAAACCAAUUAAAACAAAGGAGAAAAGAGAAAUUCAAGAAAAAUAGAAAAUCAAGAAAAUAAAAUAUGGAAAAAUAAAAAUCAGAUGAAGAAAAAUAAAAGAGAAUUUUAGAAAUUAUUUUGGGAUUUUUGGAUGAAAAUGAAAUCACUAUCAAUUUUCAAGGAAAAGGCAAUUUAAUAUAACAAAGAAAAGAAAAAGAAACUCGGAAAAAACACUGAGCGUUGG
rnacentral:lncRNA from 1 species